GCAGACUAAUGCAUAAAAGAAAUUCAGGAGAGAAGUCCUACUGCGUCCUAGAGUCCUAGGAACCUGAAUACCACCCACAGUUGAGGCAACUGAACCCCAGGAGCGUCAAUAACUCCACCAACGACGUCGCAUAGCGAGGAGUGGGAACUACUAUUCUAGAAGUCUCUGGCUGGCUUUCACCUAUUCUGAGGUGAGCGAGUGGCCAAAUGUGAAGACACAACCUGCAUGGAUUUGACCCCCUAGCAUCCCUUGGGGAUUCUCAG